CCAGUGGAUAGAUUUGUAAUGAUUGCAACCACAAAAAAAAAUGCUAAAACAUCUU
rnacentral:ncRNA from 1 species